rnacentral:rRNA from 1 species
AGCGAACGCUGGCGGCAGGCUUAACACAUGCAAGUCGAACGGGCAUCUUCGGAUGUCAGUGGCAGACGGGUGAGUAACACGUGGGAACGUACCCUUCGGUUCGGAAUAACUCAGGGAAACUUGAGCUAAUACCGGAUACGCCCUUUUGGGGAAAGGUUUACUGCCGAAGGAUCGGCCCGCGUCUGAUUAGCUUGUUGGUGGGGUAACGGCCUACCAAGGCGACGAUCAGUAGCUGGUCUGAGAGGAUGAUCAGCCACACUGGGACUGAGACGCGGCCCAGACUCCUACGGGAGGCAGCAGUGGGGAAUAUUGGACAAUGGGCGCAAGCCUGAUCCAGCCAUGCCGCGUGAGUGAUGAGGGCCUUAGGGUUGUAAAGCUCUUUUGUCCGGGACGAUAAUGACGGUACCGGAAGAAUAAGCCCCGGCUAACUUCGUG